AACGAACGCUGGCGGCAGGCCUAACACAUGCAAGUCGAGCGCCCCGCACGGGGAGCGGCGGACGGGUGAGUAACGCGCGGGAACGCGCCCCUUUCUACGGAAUAGCCUCGGGAAACGGGGAGUAAUACCGUAUAGGCCCUACGGGGGAAAGAUUUAUCGGGACGGGAUCGGCCCGCGUUGGAUUAGGUAGUUGGGGGGGUAAGGGCCUACCAAGCCGACGAUCAAUAGCUGGUUUGAGAGGAUGAUCACCCACAAUGGGACUGAGACACGGCCCAGACUCCUACGGGAGGCAGCAGUGGGGAAUCUUAGACAAUGGGCGCAAGCCUGAUCUAGCCAUGCCGCGUGAGCGAUGAAGGCCUUAGGGUUGUAAAGCUCUUUCAGUGGGGAAGAUAAUGACUGUACCCACAGAAGAAGCCCCGGCUAACUCCGUGCCAGCCGCCGCGGUAACAC
rnacentral:rRNA from 1 species